GGAGGUGCUCGUCAGCCACCUGGCAUCUUACAACACAUGGGCUUUACAAGGUCCUGUGAGUGGAGAGGCAUGGGGUGUUCUGGGCUAGCUGAGUGUGGAGGCUGGGUGGCUCUGAUGCUAGCCAGUCACUACGCUCUAGGCUCAUGCCUUUCUACCUUUGACUUCUCCAGCAGAAGUCUUGAGUUCAAUCUCAUUGCCCUGGCUUGGGUCACAUGUCUAUCCAUGAACCAAUCACUAGACUGGGUGGGGAAAGCUCUGAUUUGCCAAGUUCAGGUCAUGUGUCUCACUGGGUAAGAGCAGAGGAGGAUCACCCCCAGGGAAGACCAGCGUGCUCUUUCAGAAGAGUGGGCCAAUCGCUGGAUGGCUCUUUGCACCACUCACUCCUGUUCUCUGCUAGGGCUGCUGGGACUCACAAGGGGUAGGUUGUGGCAGCUGCCCUGUUUUGGGUUCUGACUUGGCUUGUGUCCCUGCAGGGAUUGAGUUUGUAGCUGCCCAGCUCAAGUCCAUGGUGCUGACCUUGGGCCUGAUUGACCUGCGCCUGACAGUGGAGCAGGCCGUGCUGCUGUCACGCCUGGAGGAGGAGUACCAGAAAUCAAAAUCAAGGACCAGCAGAAGUAUUGUCAAGUAGGCCUGGCGUGGUGGUUCACACCUGUAAUCCCAGCACUUUGGGUGGCCGAGGAGGGUGAAUCAUUUGAGGUCAGGAGUUUGAGACCAGCCUGGGCAACAUGGCAAAACCCUCUCUCUACAAAAAUACAAAAAUUAGCGCCUGUAGUCUCAGCUACUUGGGAAGCUGACGUGGGAGGAUUGCUUGAACCUGGGAGGUGGAGGUUGCAGUGAGCCAAGAUUGUGCCACUGCAUUCUAGCCUGGGUGACAGAGUGAGACCCUGUCUCA
rnacentral:sRNA from 1 species